rnacentral:rRNA from 1 species
CAUAAACGACUCUCGGCAACGGAUAUCUUGGCUCACGCAUCGAUGAAGAACGUAGCAAAAUGCGAUACUUGGUGUGAAUUGCAGAAUCCCGUGAACCAUCGAGUUUUUGAACGCAAGUUGCGCCCGAAGCCUUUUGGUUGAGGGCACGUCUGCCUGGGCGUCACAU